rnacentral:rRNA from 1 species
AAAUUGAAGAGUUUGAUCAUGGCUCAGAUUGAACGCUGGCGGCAGGCCUAACACAUGCAAGUCGAGCGGUAGCACAGAGAGCUUGCUCUCGGGUGACGAGCGGCGGACGGGUGAGUAAUGUCUGGGAAACUGCCUGAUGGAGGGGGAUAACUACUGGAAACGGUAGCUAAUACCGCAUAACGUCUUCGGACCAAAGUGGGGGACCUUCGGGCCUCAUGCCAUCAGAUGUGCCCAGAUGGGAUUAGCUAGUAGGUGGGGUAACGGCUCACCUAGGCGACGAUCCCUAGCUGGUCUGAGAGGAUGACCAGCCACACUGGAACUGAGACACGGUCCAGACUCCUACGGGAGGCAGCAGUGGGGAAUAUUGCACAAUGGGCGCAAGCCUGAUGCAGCCAUGCCGCGUGUAUGAAGAAGGCCUUCGGGUUGUAAAGUACUUUCAGCGAGGAGGAAGGCGGUGAGGUUAAUAACCUCAUCGAUUGACGUUACUCGCAGAAGAAGCACCGGCUAACUCCGUGCCAGCAGCCGCGGUAAUACGGAGGGUGCAAGCGUUAAUCGGAAUUACUGGGCGUAAAGCGCACGCAGGCGGUCUGUCAAGUCGGAUGUGAAAUCCCCGGGCUCAACCUGGGAACUGCAUUCGAAACUGGCAGGCUAGAGUCUUGUAGAGGGGGGUAGAAUUCCAGGUGUAGCGGUGAAAUGCGUAGAGAUCUGGAGGAAUACCGGUGGCGAAGGCGGCCCCCUGGACAAAGACUGACGCUCAGGUGCGAAAGCGUGGGGAGCAAACAGGAUUAGAUACCCUGGUAGUCCACGCCGUAAACGAUGUCGACUUGGAGGUUGUGCCCUUGAGGCGUGGCUUCCGGAGCUAACGCGUUAAGUCGACCGCCUGGGGAGUACGGCCGCAAGGUUAAAACUCAAAUGAAUUGACGGGGGCCCGCACAAGCGGUGGAGCAUGUGGUUUAAUUCGAUGCAACGCGAAGAACCUUACCUACUCUUGACAUCCAGAGAACUUAGCAGAGAUGCUUUGGUGCCUUCGGGAACUCUGAGACAGGUGCUGCAUGGCUGUCGUCAGCUCGUGUUGUGAAAUGUUGGGUUAAGUCCCGCAACGAGCGCAACCCUUAUCCUUUGUUGCCAGCGAUUCGGUCGGGAACUCAAAGGAGACUGCCAGUGAUAAACUGGAGGAAGGUGGGGAUGACGUCAAGUCAUCAUGGCCCUUACGAGUAGGGCUACACACGUGCUACAAUGGCAUAUACAAAGAGAAGCGACCUCGCGAGAGCAAGCGGACCUCAUAAAGUAUGUCGUAGUCCGGAUUGGAGUCUGCAACUCGACUCCAUGAAGUCGGAAUCGCUAGUAAUCGUAGAUCAGAAUGCUACGGUGAAUACGUUCCCGGGCCUUGUACACACCGCCCGUCACACCAUGGGAGUGGGUUGCAAAAGAAGUAGGUAGCUUAACCUUCGGGAGGGCGCUUACCACUUUGUGAUUCAUGACUGGGGUGAAGUCGUAACAAGGUAACCGUAGGGGAACCUGCGGUUGGAUCACCUCCUUACCUGAAAGAA